rnacentral:rRNA from 1 species
UGACCGCGUACUUUUUGUAGAACGGGCCAACGAGUUACGUUAAGUAGCAAGGUUAAGCACUUAAGGUGCGGAGCCGUAGCGAAAGCGAGUUUUAACUGAGCGUUCAGUUACUUGACGUAGACCCGAAACCGGGCGACCUACCCAUGAGCAGGAUGAAGCGAAAGUAAAAUUUCGUGGAGGUCCGAACCCACGAGCGUUGAAAAGCUCGGGGAUGACUUGUGGGUAGCGGUGAAAUUCCAAUCGAGCCCGGAGAUAGCUGGUUCUCCCCGAAAUAGCUUUAGGGCUAGCCUCAAGGUGAGAGAUACGGAGGUAGAGCACUGAAUGUCCUAGGGGGUAUUGCACCUACCGAAGACUAUCAAACUCCGAAUGCCGUCAUCUUAUACUUGGGAGUCAGACUGUGGGUGAUAAGAUUCAUAGUCGAAAGGGCAACAGCCCAGAUCGUCAGCUAAGGUCCCUAAAUGUAAGUUAAGUGGUAAAGGAUGUGGGAUUGCACAGACAACCAGGAUGUUGGCUUAGAAGCAGCCACUCAUUCAAAGAGUGCGUAAUAGCUCACUGGUCGAGUGAUCCUGCGCCGAAGAUUUCCGGGGCUAAAACUUACUACCGAAGCUACGGCAUCAGUAAUGAUGGGUAGGGGAGCUUCCCAUACGGGUUGAAGCAUGACCG